rnacentral:rRNA from 1 species
UACGUAGGGAGCAAGCGUUGUCCGGAAUCAUUGGGCGUAAAGAGCGUGUAGGCGGCCCGGUAAGUCCGCUGUGAAAGUCGGGGGCUCAACCCUCGGAUGCCGGUGGAUACUGUCGGGCUCGAGUACGGAAGAGGCGAGUGGAAUUCCUGGUGUAGCGGUGAAAUGCGCAGAUAUCAGGAGGAACACCUAUUGCGAAGGCAGCUCGCUGGGACGUUACUGACGCUGAGACGCGAAAGCGUGGGGAGCAAACAGG